CUGGCGUAGUCCAUCGCUUUCCCUUUUAACUUCUCUCUCCUUUUUCUUUUUCGAGUGGGAUUUUUUCCUCCGCUCUUGGUGGGGCUGCGGGAGUUCGGCUCCCGUAGGUGAAGCCGGGGCGAGGUCUGGCUCCCGUGGGAGUCCGAACGGGGUCUACCUGCAAUUGAAGUCAGGCAAAAUUUGGCUCCCGUAGGAGUCCGGGUGGAGCUUACCAGCGUUCGAAGUCAAGGAUGAAGCUCGGCUCCCGUAGGAGUCCGGACGGAGUUUGCCUACAGCCGAA
rnacentral:lncRNA from 1 species